GAUUUUUGUAUUCUUGAAGUCAUUUGUGUCGAACCAGUUGACAGUAAUAUACGUUAUACGAUGGAUGCAGCUCAGUCAAUGAAGCAAGCUUUGAAGAGUUCAAAACGUCGAAAAGCUGCAAUUGUCGUUGCAAUUCAAGAGAUCAAUAAAAGACUAAGACUUUCAAGUGAACCAGAAAAUACUGUAUCAACUCCAAUUACUAAUGAACAAAAAGAAAAGAGGUCCAACCCAAGUGAAAGCAGUUCCUGAAAAUAGGAAUCAUGAGAUGGAGCUUGAAUUUAAUGAAUUUGGGCAAGUAGUUGGCACUAACUCUGAUAAAUUUGCUAACAUGGUUGGAGCCAUUGUACGAGAGUAUGUGCGUAUUGUAAUUAAGGAUUGGCAGUCAGUAGGUGACACUAAAAAAAAUGGAACUUUGGACUUUCAGACAGGUUCAAUGUGAGUGAUUUCCAUCAAAAAAUGACAUUUCAGCAAAUGGGAAAGUAUUGGAGGACAUACAAAUCAAGAUUGAGAAAAGAAAUCAGAAUUCAAGCGACAUCAUUUGUGAAUAGAACACGCAGUAUUUCCCUUCUUAGACCGAAGAAUGUAAACUCCGAAUAAGCAUGGAAGAAGUUUGUAGAAGAUACUCUUUCUACUGACUUUCAAGAAAAAAGUGCCAAGUUCAGUAAAAUGAGAACUAAUCAGAAGCUUCUACACACUAUGGGUCGAAAGUGUUAUCAACGUACGGCUCACGAUUUGGUGCACAUUCAAACUAUCUUUACUUGGACGUAAAAAAAGGUUUCCAGACAUGAAAGGAUUGAGAACUAGAGUCUGGACUCAUGGACAUCUGAGAAGGGAUGGAAAACCUAUAAAUGAAGCUGUUGCCGACACUCUAAAAAGGAUAGAAGAUUGUGCUCAAUCUAUUUCCGAUACACUAGCAGAAGAUUCAAUUCGAGAUGAUGCUGUUGCUCGAGUUCUAGGUCCUGAACGUCGUGGAAGAGUAAGGGGACUUGGAUUUGGAGUUACACCAUCAAAGGUCAAUGGACAAAUUCAAAGUAAUUCUCGAGUGAGAGAACUUGAAAGCCAACUACAAACGCAAUCAGAAAGGGUUGGAGCACUAGAAGAAAAAGUUGAAGUACUCCUGAAGUUAUCUUAGAUUCAAAAUAAGAAUGUAGAUGACAUGAGUUCACGUGCUUUUACUCCUCAGGUUAUGUAUCUUAUAUUAUUUAUUGUUUGUUCAAUAUAAAUUCAGACUAUAUGGCAUACUAAUUUUAAAAAGAAUAUUUUCAUUUUAUUGUGAAUUUGUAGUCCCAACAAGGAAGUGGUAUCCAGGGAGGGACUACACAUUUGGAAAAUUCAAGGUUUCAAUUAUUGCAUUGGUACCGAUAUAAUGAGGAAGAAAUCGUAGCAGAAGGGAAGAUUGCAUCAACCAACCCAAACGCAAAGGUACAUCACAUGUCACUUGGACGAGAUUGUUGGAAGGUUUGGGUUGAGGAAGUGUAUAUGGGUCAUUUGACCUUAUAUAGACCUACUGAUGAAUUUUGAGUUCUUAGUGAAACCAUGGGAAGUACUGUUGCUUGGCCAAAGAGUAGUGUUAGACUCAUUUGACGAAGUUAUAUGGAGUCGAGCUGAGUUAAGAGAAGAAUUUGAAGUUAAGUUCUCUUAUGCAUGUGCCUUCUUGGACUUCAUUUAUGUAAGCAGCUUGCUUCGGGAUGGCUUAUGGACAAUGCUUUAGCUUUCCUAUUGUAAUUCCUGUAGUUGACUCAUUGUAUAUAUUCUUGACAUAUUUGUUUUUGCUGGUUUGUGUGCUCUCGUUUCUGUAUUGGAGUCUUUAUUGUGUUUUGAAGAAGUAAUUGUACAUGUUUUA